ACCUUUAAGAAAGUUAAAUUAAUCAUCUUUUAUUCACUACAGCUCCAUAUAGAUACUUUUAAUUAGCACGUUUCCCCUUGGCUCUUCUCCUCCUUUAAACUUCUCAACAUGUUCUUGACGGAACAAUUGGUCUUUAUUAAUGUGUGACAGCUUAGAGCAGCAGCGAGCUGUUUGCCAGAUGUUUGAACUCUGGUGAACUGCUGUUCACUUGUCAGACUGGCAAUGAGGAGCGAACAAAUAUCGCGCUAUUCAGCCUCCCUCCUGAGCUGCCAGAGAAUUUCAAACAGCUUCAAGUGCCAGAGCCAAAGGAUCUGCUGAGAAAGAAUAAGGAAAAUGUUUCCGCUGAGGAUGUGAGAGUACACAAAUGGUGCCAAGCAACUGAAUGCAUGCAGAAGUGGUCAAAACAGCGAGUAAUAGGAAGUGUCUGCAUCUCCUUACAAGAUUUUGCUGCAAGUUUAAACCACACAGAAGAGUGCAACCUGAAUAUGGAUCAUCCAUGUAUGUGGGACCUGAAAGAGUAAUUGCUUGAUUUUCAAAUCCAUCUUGAACGCCUCAAACCUAACACCAAGACUUGAAAGAUUAUCCCAAUCCACUACCAGUGGUCUUUGCUUUCGGUAGAGACCAGGGAAACUUUCUUUUCUCUAUAUCUGCCUCACAUCAAUCAGCAUAUGCUAGGUAAUGUCAGGGAAGAAGUAUACCAAUCAAUACCAAUGAGUAGAUAUUAGCAGUGAUACUACCAAUUUUCCAAAUGUGUAUCUCUAUGUACUAUUUUAAUUUUAAAAUGCAUGUAUGCAGAAGUGAUAAUAGGGAUAUAAUAGUAUAGAUUAGUUUAAUGAUACAAUACUCUUCCCUAAGGGGUGAUAUUUUUCCUCCUCACCAUAGAAUAAAACCAACAUUUCAGUGCA
rnacentral:lncRNA from 1 species